rnacentral:lncRNA from 1 species
AUACUGCUGGUCAGCCCAGAGAGCCCUUUUGCUCAGCUUUUGCAGCCCCACCUCCUGAAUUUGGUUUUCAGCUGGAUUUCCUUAGGCUCAGGACUUAGCCAGGACUUGUGGACUCUCCUGCAUAUUUCUAGUACAUGCACCUGCACAGGUUCGGGCCCUCUGCCCACGAAGAGUGAAUGAGACUGGGAGGGGUCAUUACAUGUUGCAAGCAAAGCCAUAAACACACACACCAGCCAGGUGCAAAAAGAGUUAAACUAGUUAGCUUAUUCCCUUGGGGAGAGUUUAAGCAGAAGUAGGAAAAUAACUUAAGUACCAAACUGUCAGACAAUGAAUGGGUCUGGAAUAAUGUGAAAAUUACUGCAACUGUCUGAGAGGCUGUGUAGUUGGUGUUGUUAUUAGUGGGGAGCUUUUUCCUCCUCAGAGCAAGAUACUAAAUGGAUGUCAUUUCUGGGCACUUACAUAAUUGGCUAAGGCUGGUCUCAGCGGAAAACAGCCGCUGAACCUGUCCACACACACACGUGGACCCACGGGACCACUUGGAAAUCGGACGCUCCUGGCCUGACACUGCAUUGUCUCCAGCAGAACGAGAAACACAGCAGAGAGGGAAUGGUCAACCCCAGAGCACCGGCCACUUUGGGAAAAUGGACAUCUCCUCUCCUCUGGCUGAAGGAAAGUAAGAAGACAUGGUGUUGCCCCAGGCUGUGUAGCCCACAACAAUUUUCCAUCCAAAUGCAUGAGCCCGGGUUCCCGAUGAAGACUUGGCUUCUCCUGAGCCCGGGGGUCCUGGCUGCUCUGGUGCCAACCCCUGGGUGUCUUCGAGCUGCAGAGGGCUUGCCACGUGCAUCCUCCUCCCUCUGCCUGAGCCAUGAAGACCAGGCUGGACUAUGUUCCACAAAGACUUUUUCCCCUCAGGGGUCUCCUCCCAACAACACUUAACCAAGCUUUGUAUUCAACAAGGAACACAUUCCGCCUCC